CCAAUCGAACCCGGAGAUAGCUGGUUCUCCUCGAAAUAGCUUUAGGGCUAGCCUCAUACAAGUCUUGCGGAGGUAGAGCACUGAAUUCCUGCGGGGGCGUCAAAGCUUACCAAGGGAUAUCAAACUCCGAAUGCCGUGUAGAUGGUGCAUGGGAGUCAGACUAUCCGAGAUAAGUUGGGUAGUCGAAAGGGAAAGAGCCCAGACCUGCAGCUAAGGCCCCAAAAUGUGUGUUAAGUGGAAAAGGAUGUGGGAUUUCGAAGACAACUAGGAUGUUGGCUUAGAAGCAGCCAUCCAUUAAAAGAGUGCGUAAUAGCUCACUAGUCGAGAGGUCCUGCGCCGAAAAUGUCCGGGGCUGAAACACACUGCCGAAGCUCAGGGAUGAACAGUGAUCAAUACAGAUCAAUAAGAGAAGGAAAGCUUCUUGACACAGUCAAGAAGAUCCCUCAACAGAUGAAACAGACUGGUGUUGGUCUGCAUUGAUCACUGUUCAUCGGUAGAGGAGCAUUGUUAACUGGACGAAGCGGUACCGGAAGGAGCCGUGGACGGUUAAGAAGAGAGAAUGCCGGAAUGAGUAGCGAGAGGAAGGUGGGAAUCCUUCCGGCCGAAUAUCUAAGGUUUCCAGGGUAAAGCUGAUCUGCCCUGGGUAAGUCGGGACCUAAGGCGAGGUCGAAAGACGUAGUCGAUGGACAACAGGUUGAAAUUCCUGUACUAUCCUGUAACAGAACUGUGGGGACGCAGACAGAGAGCGUGAGCCGGGAAUGGAAAGACCGGUGCAAGCGAGGUAGGAGUGAGAUAGGCAAAUCCGUCUCACAAUCUGAAGACGUGACGCGGACCGAAAACAAGUAGGGAAGCACGUGAGCUGGCUGCCAAGAAAAGCCGCUAUUGUUUGCAGGAUACCCGUACCGUAAACCGACACAGGUGGAUGAGGAGAGAAUCCUAAGGCCGACGGGAGAAGCAUUGUUAAGGAACUCGGCAAAAUGACUCCGUAACUUCGGGAGAAGGAGUGCCAGAGCGAUCUGGCCGCAGAGAAUUGGCCCAAGCAACUGUUUAGCAAAAACACAGGUCUAUGCGAAACCGAAAGGUGAGGUAUAUGGGCUGACGCCUGCCCGGUGCUGGAAGGUUAAGGGGAGAGGUUAGCGCAAGCGAAGCUUUGAACUUAAGCCCCAGUAAACGGCGGCCGUAACUAUAACGGUCCUAAGGUAGCGAAAUUCCUUGUCGGGUAAGUUCCGACCCGCACGAAAGGCGUAAUGAUUUGGGCACUGUCUCAACAAUGCACCCGGUGAAAUUGAAAUACCAGUGAAGAUGCUGGUUACCUGCGCCAGGACGGAAAGACCCCAUGGAGCUUUACUCCAGCUUGAUACUGGGAUUCGGUAUUGCAUGUACAGGAUAGGUGGGAGGCUAAGAAGUAAGGACGCCAGUCCUUACGGAGCCGCUGUUGGGAUACCACCCUUGCAGUACUGGGUUUCUAACCAGCAGCCGUGAUCCGGCUGGGGGACAAUGUCAGGUGGGGAGUUUGACUGGGGCGGUCGCCUCCGAAAGGGUAUCGGAGGCGCUCAAAGGUUCCCUCAGAAUGGUCGGAAACCAUUCGAAGAGUGCAAAGGCAGAAGGGAGCUUGACUGCGACACCGACGGGUGGAGCAGGUACGAAAGUAGGACUUAGUGAUCCGGUGGUAUAAAGUGGGAUUGCCAUCGCUCAACGGAUAAAAGCUACCCUGGGGAUAACAGGCUUAUCACUCCCAAGAGUUCACAUCGACGGAGUGGUUUGGCACCUCGAUGUCGGCUCAUCGCAUCCUGGGGCUGUAGUCGGUCCCAAGGGUUGGGCUGUUCGCCCAUUAAAGCGGUACGCGAGCUGGGUUCAGAACGUCGUGAGACAGUUCGGUCCCUAUCCGGCGUGGGCGUAGGAUAUUUGAGAGGAGCUGUCCUUAGUACGAGAGGACCGGGAUGGACUGGCCGCUGGUGUAUCUGUUGUUUUACCAAGAGCAUAGCAGAGUAGCCAAGCCGGGAAGGGAUAAACGCUGAAGGCAUCUAAGCGUGAAGCCCCCCUCAAGAUGAGAUAUCCCAUAACGUCAAGUUAGUAAGACCCCUUGAAGACGACGAGGUAGAUAGGGCAGAGGUGGAAGUGCAGUAAUGCAUGGAGCUGACUGUUACUAAUCGGUCGAGGGCAUAACCAG
rnacentral:rRNA from 1 species